rnacentral:RNase_P_RNA from 1 species
UUGGAGGGCUAGGCGAUCGCCGCUGGGGUUUGCCCCAGGGGAGGAAAGUCCGGGCUCUAUAGGGCAGGGUGGUGGCUAACGGCCACCGGGAGUAAUCCUAGGGAAAGUGCCACAGAAAACAAACCGCCUCCCGUGGCUUCGGUCGCGGGCGGUAAGGGUGAAAAGGUGCGGUAAGAGCGCACCGCGGCAGUGGUGACACUGCUGGCAGGGUAAACCCCACCUGGAGCAAGACCAAAUAAGGGAGGAGAGGCGGCCCGUCUCGUUUGACUUCUGGGUAGGUCGCUCGAGGCCGUCGGCAACGGCGGCCCUAGAUGGAUGGUCGCCCCGGAGAGCGUCAUUGGCGCUCGAAGGACAGGACCCGGCUUACCGGCCCUCCAACAAC